GAUGAAGAACGUAGCGAAAUGCGAUAAGUAGUGUGAAUUGCAGAAUUCCGUGAAUCAUCGAAUCUUUGAACGCACAUUGCGCCUUCUGGUAUUCCGGAAGGCAUGCCUGUUCGAGAGUCAUUAACAACCGUUUCGAUCCCUUUCUUUCAGAAAUUACAAAGAGGAAAAGGGUUUGGUUAUGGUGGAGGAGGGAAAGGGAGCGUUUAGCCUGUAAAAAAAGAGGCUGUGUUCCGCCUCCCCCCCAAAAUUGUACAGGCGGUCGUGUGCGCCCACGCAUCGAGGUGAUGUAAAAGCUGCCACGGCACUUUUCACCUGUGCAGUGCGAGAUUGGCCAGCCGGUUUAAAAACCCCUCCAAACAAUCAAAGGUUGACCUCGGAUCAGGUAGGGAUACCCGCUGAACUUAAGCAUAUCAAUAAGCGGAGGA
rnacentral:misc_RNA from 1 species